rnacentral:rRNA from 1 species
CCUACGGGCGGCAGCAGUGAGGAAUAUUGGUCAAUGGGCGAAAGCCUGAACCAGCCAAGUAGCGUGAAGGAUGACGGUUCUAUGGAUUGUAAACCUCUUUUAUAAGGGAAUAAAGUGUUGGACGUGUCUGAUUUUGUAUGUACUAUAUGAAUAAGGAUCGGCUAACUCCGUGCCAGCAGCCGCGGUAAUACGGAGGAUCCGAGCGUUAUCCGGAUUUAUUGGGUUUAAAGGGUGCGUAGGGGGCUUUUUAAGUCAGCUGUGAAAGUCUGUGGCUCCACCCGAGAAUUGCCGUUGAAACUGGGAGUCUUGAGUAUGUUAGAGGCAGGCGGAAUGCGUGGUGUAGCGGUGAAAUGCGUAGAUAUCACGCAGAACCCCGAUUGCGAAGGCAGCUUGC